AGCAGCAGCCGCGGUAAUACGGAGGGAGCUAGCGUUGUUCGGAAUUACUGGGCGUAAAGCGCACGUAGGCGGCUUUGUAAGUUAGAGGUGAAAGCCUGGAGCUCAACUCCAGAAUUGCCUUUAAGACUGCAUCGCUUGAAUCCGGGAGAGGUGAGUGGAAUUCCGAGUGUAGAGGUGGAAUUCGUAGAUAUUCGGAAGAACACCAGUGGCGAAGGCGGCUCACUGGACCGGCAUUGACGCUGAGGUGCGAAAGCGUGGGGAGCAAACAGGAUUAGAUACCCCCGUAGUCCCUGUCUCUUAUAC
rnacentral:rRNA from 1 species